GCGUUAGCAGACGUUAAUUAAUC
rnacentral:snRNA from 1 species